GCCCGGCGGGCUCAGUCAGUAGAGCAUGGGACUCUUGAUCUCAGGACUGUGAGUUUGAGCCCCAUGCUGGGUA
rnacentral:tRNA from 1 species